rnacentral:rRNA from 1 species
GACAGAGGUGCCGAGCGUUAGGCGGAAUCACUGGGCUUAAAGCGUGUGUAGGCGGACGGGUAAGUACCUUGUGAAAUCCCACGGCUCAACCGUGGAACUGCUGGAUAUACUGCCUGUCUUGAGUCAUCUAGGGGCGAGCGGAACAAAUGGUGGAGCGGUGAAAUGCGUAGAUAUCAUUUGGAACGCCAAUGGUGAAAACAGCUCGCUGGGGAUGUACUGACGCUGAGACACGAAAGCCAGGGGAGCAAACGGG